rnacentral:rRNA from 1 species
AUUGAACGCUGGCGGCAGGCCUAACACAUGCAAGUCGAGCGGAGCGGCGGACGGGUGAGUAAUGCCUAGGAAUCUGACUGGUAGUGGGGGAUAACGUCCGGAAACGGGCGCUAAUACCGCAGACUAUCAGAAGAGCCUAGGUCGGAUUAGCUAGUUGGUGUGGUCACGUCUCACCAAGGCGACGAUCCCUAGCUGGUCUGAGAGGAUGACCAGCCACACUGGAACUGAGACACGUUCCAGACGCCUACGGUAGGCAGCAGUGGUGAAUAUUGCACAAUGGGCGCAAGCCUGAUGCAGCCAUGCCGCGGGUAUGAAGAAGGCCUUCGGGUUUUAAAGUACUUUCAGCGGGGAGGCGUUACCCGCAGAAGAAGCACCGGCUAACUCCGUGCCAGCAGCCGCGGUAAUUC